AACGAACGCUGGCGGCAGGCUUAACACAUGCAAGUCGAACGCCCCGCAAGGGGAGUGGCAGACGGGUGAGUAACGCGUGGGAACAUACCCUUUUCUACGGAAUAGCUCUGGGAAACUGGAAUUAAUACCGUAUACGCCCUACGGGGGAAAGAUUUAUCGGGGAAGGAUUGGCCCGCGUUGGAUUAGCUAGUUGGUGGGGUAAAGGCCUACCAAGGCGACGAUCCAUAGCUGGUCUGAGAGGAUGAUCAGCCACAUUGGGACUGAGACACGGCCCAAACUCCUACGGGAGGCAGCAGUGGGGAAUAUUGGACAAUGGGCGCAAGCCUGAUCCAGCCAUGCCGCGUGAGUGAUGAAGGCCUUAGGGUUGUAAAGCUCUUUCACCGAUGAAGAUAAUGACGGUUGUCGGAGAAGAAGCCCCGGCUAACUUCGUG
rnacentral:rRNA from 1 species